rnacentral:rRNA from 1 species
UACGAAGGGGGCUAGCGUUGCUCGGAAUUACUGGGCGUAAAGGGAGCGUAGGCGGGUUAUCAAGUUGGGGUGAAAGCCCGGGGCUCAACCUCGGAAUUGCCUUCAAAACUGAUAACCUGGAGUAUGGAAGAGGUAAGUGGAACUCCGAGUGUAGAGGUGAAAUUCGUAGAUAUUCGGAAGAACACCAGUGGCGAAGGCGACUUACUGGUCCAUUACUGACGCUGAGGCUCGAAAGCGUGGGAGCAACAGGG